CUUCUGAAAAAUGAAACCAAAAUAAGCAUUUGUUUUAGACCACAGUGCAUACCUCUGCUUCUCUCUUCUUUCACCUGUUGGCUGACAGCGGCAGAAGCAAGCUGGGACCUGUUGGACUUUUUUGUUUGUUUUGUUUUGUUUUUUUGUUUUUGUUUUUGUUUUUGUUUUGAAGCAGUGUCAGAGAAAUGUUUCAGCACAAUUGGCCCAAGCAAUUUCAGUCCCUGGACCAGCAAGCAGGAGCCGUAUUUAGAUUUAAGCCUUCCUUGUGACUCUCACCUUGCCAUGGAGAUCUCAAACGACUUCCUCCUGGGGCCCAAUAUUCAAGCCUCCCUUCCUUGAGUGGUAGUUGUAGGAUUCAAUGAAAAAUAGGACCUAGGGGCACCUGGGUGGCUCAGUCAUUAAGUGUCUGCCUUCAGCUCAAGUCAUGAUCCCAGGGUCCGGGGCUUGAGGCCCAUAUUGGGCUCCCUGCUCAGCAGGAAGCCUGCUUCUCCCCCUCCCACUCCCUCUGCUUGUGUUCCCUUUCUCGCUGUGUCUCUCUCUGUCAAAUAAAUAAAUAAAAUCUUAAAAAGAAAAAUAAAAAGAAAGGACCUAACCAAAUACUUGACAGCCCUCAAUACAUUUUUCUCUCUUCC
rnacentral:lncRNA from 1 species